UACGAAGGGGGCUAGCGUUGCUCGGAAUGACUGGGCGUAAAGGGCGCGUAGGCGGAUGGCACAGUCAGAUGUGAAAUUCCCGGGCUUAACCUGGGGGCUGCAUUUGAUACGUGUGAUCUAGAGUGAGGAAGAGGGUCGUGGAAUUCCCAGUGUAGAGGUGAAAAUUCGUAGAUAUUGGGAAGAACACCGGUGGCGAAGGCGGCGACCUGGUCCUUGACUGACGCUGAGGCGCGAAAGCGUGGGGAGCAAACAGG
rnacentral:rRNA from 1 species